rnacentral:tRNA from 1 species
AUGUGUUAGCUCAGUGGUUAAAGCACUCACUACCUAAUGACGAAGUCAUGGGUUCGAGUCACCAUGGAGGUAUG